rnacentral:rRNA from 1 species
GCAUAACGCGAAGAACCUUACCUACUCUUGACAUCCACGGAACUUAGCAGAGAUGCUUUGGUGCCUUCGGGAACCGUGAGACAGGUGCUGCAUGGCUGUCGUCAGCUCGUGUUGUGAAAUGUUGGGUUAAGUCCCGCAACGAGCGCAACCCUUAUCCUUUGUUGCCAGCGGUUAGGCCGGGAACUCAAAGGAGACUGCCAGUGAUAAACUGGAGGAAGGUGGGGAUGACGUCAAGUCAUCAUGGCCCUUACGAGUAGGGCCACACACGUGCUACAAUGGCGCAUACAAAGAGAAGCGACCUCGCGAGAGCAAGCGGACCUCAUAAAGUGCGUCGUAGUCCGGAUUGGAGUCUGCAACUCGACUCCAUGAAGUCGGAAUCGCUAGUAAUCGUAGAUCAGAAUGCUACGGUGAAUACGUUCCCGGGUC